rnacentral:rRNA from 1 species
UACGUAGGGGGCUAGCGUUGUCCGGAUUUAUUGGGCGUAAAGAGCGUGUAGGCGGCCAUGUAGGUCCGGUGUGAAAACUCGAGGCUUAACCUCGAGAUGUCAUCGGAAACCAUUUGGCUAGAGUCCGGAAGAGGAGAGUGGAAAUUCCUGGUGUAGCGGUGAAAUGCGCAGAUAUCAGGAAGAACACCAAUGGCGAAAGCAGCUCUCUGGGACGGUACUGACGCUGAGACGCGAAAGCGUGGGGAGCGAACAGG